UACGUAGGGGGCUAGCGUUGUCCGGAAUUACUGGGCGUAAAGGGUGCGUAGGCGGCAUUUUAAGUCAGAUGUGAAAUACCCGGGCUUAACCCGGGGGGUGCAUUUGAAACUGGAAUACUUGAGUGCAGGAGAGGUAAGUGGAAUUCCUAGUGUAGCGGUGAAAUGCGUAGAUAUUAGGAGGAACACCAGUGGCGAAGGCGACUUACUGGACUGUAACUGACGCUGAGGCACGAAAGCGUGGGGAGCAAACAGG
rnacentral:rRNA from 1 species